GAUGAACGCUAGCGGGAGGCCUAAUACAUGCAAGUCGAACGGUAGUCCCGAUUUAUCGGGAUGAGAGUGGCGCACGGGUGCGUAACGCGUAUGCAACCUACCUACAACAGGGGGAUAGCCCGAAGAAAUUCGGAUUAAUACCCCAUAGCAUUGCACUAUUGCAUGAUAGAGCAAUUAAAGAUUUAUUGGUUGUAGAUGGGCAUGCGUCUGAUUAGCUAGUUGGUAGUGUAAAGGACUACCAAGGCGACGAUCAGUAGCGGGUCUGAGAGGAUGAUCCGCCACACUGGAACUGAGACACGGUCCAGACUCCUACGGGAGGCAGCAGUAGGGAAUAUUGGUCAAUGGACGAGAGUCUGAACCAGCCAUCCCGCGUGCAGGAAGAAUGUCCUAUGGAUUGUAAACUGCUUUUCUACAAGAAGAAAAACUCCAAUGCGUUGGAGGUUGACGGUACUGUAGGAAUAAGCACCGGCUAACUCCGUGCCAGCCGCCGCCGUAACAC
rnacentral:rRNA from 1 species